UACGUAGGGUGCAAGCGUUAAUCGGAAUUACUGGGCGUAAAGCGUGCGCAGGCGGUUAUGUAAGACAGGUGUGAAAUCCCCGGGCUUAACCUGGGAACUGCAUUUGUGACUGCAUAGCUAGAGUACGGUAGAGGGGGAUGGAAUUCCGCGUGUAGCAGUGAAAUGCGUAGAUAUCUGGAGGAAUACCGGUGGCGAAGGCGGCAUCCUAGACCGGCAUUGACGCUGAGGAGCGAAAGCCAGGGGAGCAAACGGG
rnacentral:rRNA from 1 species